rnacentral:rRNA from 1 species
AACGAACGCUGGCGGCAGGCCUCAUACAUGCAAGUCGAGCGAUUAAGACUCCUUCGGGAGUGUAUAAAGCGGCGAACGGGUGAGUAACAGGUGGAUGAUCUACCUUCCGGUGGGGGAUAACGGCUGGAAACGGCCGCUAAUACCGCAUUCGGUUAAUACGCUGCGGCGUAUUAAAGAAAGGCGCUUCAAAGCGCCGCCGGGAGAUGAGUCCGCCCCCCAUUAGCUAGUUGGUGAGAUAACAGCUCACCAAGGCAACGAUGGGUAGCCGAACUGAGAGGUUGAUCGGCCACACUGGAACUGAGACACGGUCCAGACACCUACGGGUGGCAGCAGUAGGGAAUAUUGGGCAAUGGGCGAAAGCCUGACCCAGCCAUGCCGCGUGAGUGAUGAAGGUCCUAGAGAUUGUAAAACUCUUUUCUGAGGAAGAAUAAAUAGGGAAGGAAAUAGUCCUUAUUUGACGGUACCUCAGAAUAAGGAACGGCUAACUCCGUGCCAGCAGCCGCGGUAAA